rnacentral:rRNA from 1 species
UACGAAGGGGGCUAGCGUUGUUCGGAAUUACUGGGCGUAAAGGGUGCGUAGGCGGCCAUUUAAGUCUUGUGUGAAAGGCCCCGGCUUAACCGGGGAGCUGCAUGGGAAACUGCCAAGCUCGAGUGCCGGAGAGGAUAGCGGAAUUCCCGGUGUAGCGGUGAAAUGCGUAGAGAUCGGGAGGAACACCCGUGGCGAAGGCGGCCACCUGGGCCAACACUGACACUGAGGCACGAAAGCGUGGGGAGCAAACAGG